GUGGAAGGCUGAGUCAGAGAAACUGCCAGCCCGCCAGGACAAGCAGCAUGUGAAGACACCGCGGAACUCCCAUGGUGUUAUGGUUGAAGCUGCUUCACAGAUUCUGUGAUGAUGCCUCCUGAGCAAGCUGCUGUUGUCAGUAAGAACGUGGCAAGAACAGCAUCUACUCAGCAAGACAUUUCCACUCCUGAUCACCCACUGUGUGCAUCAGACUUUCCAGAAAUGGAGCCUCAGCACCUGUCAAAUCAGAAGAUGCAGCUCAACCAUGCUCAACCAGACCUGCAGAUCCUGAGCAAGGAAGUUGCAAGAAGUUGGAUGACCCAAGGAGAAGGCACUGUCACUGGCUCUGCCACCAGAGGGCGGUCACUGCACACACACUGGGGCCUGGAAGAGAGACUGAGGAUUAAGGAAGACAGUGUAAGGAAGGCGACUGGAGCUUGACUGAUGGGGAAGACCAGAAGAAGGGUGGAGACACCGAGAAUCCUGACCGGCCUUGCAGAAGGCAGCUCAACAUGGCGGCUUAUGUUACUCUUACAAAUGCACCUCCUUGCAUCCCAAAGCCUCGGCCCCAGUUGUUGUAAUUCAGGACAGUGACGCACCCCUUCCCAAGUCAGCCAGUAU